CCUACGGGGGGCACCAGUGGGGAAUAUUGCACAAUGGGCGCAAGCCUGAUGCAGCCAUGCCGCGUGUAUGAAGAAGGCCUUCGGGUUGUAAAGUACUUUCAGCGGGGAGGAAGGUGUUGUGGUUAAUAACCGCAGCGAUUGACGUUACCCGCAGAAGAAGCACCGGCUAACUCCGUGCCAGCAGCCGCGGUAAUACGGAGGGUGCAAGCGUUAAUCGGAAUUACUGGGCGCAAAGCGCACGCAGGCGGUCUGUCAAGUCGGAUGUGAAAUCCCCGGGCUCAACCUGGGAACUGCAUUCGAAACUGGCAGGCUAGAGUCUUGUAGAGGGGGGUAGAAUUCCAGGUGUAGCGGUAAAAUGCGUAGAGAUCUGGAGGAAUACCGGUGGCGAAGGCGGCCCCCUGGACGAUGACUGACGCCCAGGUGCGAAAGCGUGGGGAGCAAACAGGAUUAGAUACCCUAGUAGUC
rnacentral:rRNA from 1 species